rnacentral:rRNA from 1 species
UACCUACAACUGUUGCUUCGGCGGGUAGGCCGUCCCCUGAAAAGGACGCCUCCCGGCCCGGACCGGACCCCCCGUGGGGCCGGACUCGGCGCCCGCCGGAGGAUAACCAAACGCUAUUUUAACGACGUUUCUUCUGAGUGGCAUAAGCAAAAUAAUCAAAACUUUUAACAACGGAUCUCUUGGUUCUGGCAUCGAUGAAGAACGCAGCGAAAUGCGAUAAGUAAUGUGAAUUGCAGAAUUCAGUGAAUCAUCGAAUCUUUGAACGCACAUUGCGCCCGCCAGCAUUCUGGCGGGCAUGCCUGUUCGAGCGUCAUUUCAACCCUCAAGCUCUGCUUGGUGUUGGGGCUCUACGGUCGACGUAGGCCCUCAAAGGUAGUGGCGGACCCUCCCGGAGCCUCCUUUGCGUAGUAACAUUUCGUCUCGCACUGGGAUCCGGAGGGACUCUUGCCGUAAAACCCCCCAAUUUUUCAAGGUUGACCUCGGAUCAGGUAGGAAUACCCGCUGAACUUAAGCAUAUCAAUAAGCGGA